CGGCCAUCUGGGACAACACUGACGGUGAGCACGAAAGCGUGGGAGCAAACAGGAUUAGAUACCCUGGUAGUCCACGCCUAAACGAUGCGAACUGGACGUUGGGCACACUUAGGUGCUCAGUGUCGAAGCUAACGCGUUAAGUUCGCCGCCUGGGGAGUACGGUCGCAAGACUGAAACUCAAAGGAAUUGACGGGGGCCCGCACAAGCGGUGGAGUAUGUGGUUUAAUUCGAUGCAACGCGAAGAACCUUACCUGGCCUUGACAUGUCCGGAAUCCUGCAGAGAUGCGGGAGUGCCUUC
rnacentral:rRNA from 1 species